UACGAAGGGGGGCUAGCGUUGUUCGGAAUCACUGGGCGUAAAGCGCACGUAGGCGGAUCUUUAAGUCAGGGGUGAAAUCCCGAGGCUCAACCUCGGAACUGCCUUUGAUACUGGGGAUCUCGAGUCCGGGAGAGGUCGAGUGGAACUGCGAGUGUAGAGGUGAAAUUCGUAGAUAUUCGCAAGAACACCAGUGGCGAAGGCGGCUCACUGGCCCGGAACUGACGCUGAGGUGCGAAAGCGUGGGGAGCAAACA
rnacentral:rRNA from 1 species